GACGAACGCUUGCGGCGUGCCUAAUACAUGCAAGUUGAGCGAUGAAGAUUGGUGCUUGCACCAAUUUGAAGAGCAGCGAACGGGUGAGUAACGCGUGGGGAAUCUGCCUUUGAGCGGGGGACAACAUUUGGAAACGAAUGCUAAUACCGCAUAACAACUUUAAACAUAAGUUUUAAGUUUGAAAGAUGCAAUUGCAUCACUCAAAGAUGAUCCCGCGUUGUAUUAGCUAGUUGGUGAGGUAAAGGCUCACCAAGGCGAUGAUACAUAGCCGACCUGAGAGGGUGAUCGGCCACAUUGGGACUGAGACACGGCCCAAACUCCUACGGGAGGCAGCAGUAGGGAAUCUUCGGCAAUGGACGAAAGUCUGACCGAGCAACGCCGCGUGAGUGAAGAAGGUUUUCGGAUCGUAAAACUCUGUUGGUAGAGAAGAACGUUGGUGAGAGUGGAAAGCUCAUCAAGUGACGGUAACUACCCAGAAAGGGACGGCUAACUACGUG
rnacentral:rRNA from 1 species